ACCACUGAGUCAGUGAAAAAUCCUAGAAGGGAUCCCAGAGGAUCGGUGGGAAGGUCCCUUCCAGUUACUGCUCACGACAGAGACCGCAGUGCAUACAGCAGAACGAGGGUGGACACACGCGACCAGAGUGAAAGGACCUGUUGCUCCACCACCCCUGAAAGAGUGGACUGUGUCAUCAACGCCUGGGGACCUACAACUUAAACUCCA